rnacentral:rRNA from 1 species
CUGCCCCAUAGUCUGGGAUACCACUUGGAAACAGGUGCUAAUACCGGAUAAGAAAGCAGAUCGCAUGAUCAGCUUUUAAAAGGCGGCGUAAGCUGUCGCUAUGGGAUGGCCCCGCGGUGCAUUAGCUAGUUGGUAAGGUAAAGGCUUACCAAGGCGAUGAUGCAUAGCCGAGUUGAGAGACUGAUCGGCCACAUUGGGACUGAGACACGGCCCAAACUCCUACGGGAGGCAGCAGUAGGGAAUCUUCCACAAUGGACGCAAGUCUGAUGGAGCAACGCCGCGUGAGUGAAGAAGGUUUUCGGAUCGUAAAGCUCUGUUGUUGGUGAAGAAGGAUAGAGGUAGUAACUGGCCUUUAUUUGACGGUAAUCAACCAGAAAGUCACGGCUAACUACGUGCCAGCAGCCGCGGUAAUACGUAGGUGGCAAGCGUUGUCCGGAUUUAUUGGGCGUAAAGCGAGCGCAGGCGGAAGAAUAAGUCUGAUGUGAAAGCCCUCGGCUUAACCGAGGAACUGCAUCGGAAACUGUUUUUCUUGAGUGCAGAAGAGGAGAGUGGAACUCCAUGUGUAGCGGUGGAAUGCGUAGAUAUAUGGAAGAACACCAGUGGCGAAGGCGGCUCUCUGGUCUGCAACUGACGCUGAGGCUCGAAAGCAUGGGUAGCGAACAGGAUUAGAUACCCUGGUAGUCCAUGCCGUAAACGAUGAGUGCUAAGUGUUGGGAGGUUUCCGCCUCUCAGUGCUGCAGCUAACGCAUUAA